rnacentral:rRNA from 1 species
AGGUGCUGCAUGGCUGUCGUCAGCUCGUGUCGUGAGAUGUUGGGUUAAGUCCCGUAACGAGCGCAACCCUUAUCCUUAGUUGCUAGCAGGUAAUGCUGAGAACUCUAGGGAGACUGUCAGUGAUAAACUGGAGGAAGGUGGGGACGACGUCAAGUCAUCAUGGCCCUUAUGGGUAGGGCUACACACGUGCUACAAUGGUCGGUACAGAGGGCCGCAAACUCGCGAGAGUAAGCAAAUCCCAGAAAGCCGAUCUUAGUCCGGAUUGCAGUCUGCAACUCGACUGCAUGAAGUUGGAAUCGCUAGUAAUCGCGGAUCAGAAUGCCGCGGUGAAUACGUUCCCGGGCCUUGUACACACCGCCCGUCACACCAUGGGAGUGGGUUGCAAAAGAAGUAGGUAGUCUAACCUUCGGGAGGGCGCUUACCACUUUGUGAUUCAUGACUGGGGUGAAGUUCAAGCAACAUC